AUGAAAAAACUGCUUCGUAACAUGUGAAGUCCAGAUCCAAGGGAACCUCAGAAAUCCAUUGAAGUUCCAUUGUUAAGAAGUUCUGUUUGUUUGGCAACUGCUUUAAACCCGAUAGAACAAGAUCAGAAGUGGCAGUCUAUAACUGAAAAUGUGGUAAAGUACUUGAAGCAAACAUCCCGCAUCACUAUUGGACCUCUGAGACUUUCUACUUUAACAGUUUCACAGUCUUUGCCAGUUCUAAGUACCUUGUAGCUGUAUUGCUCGUUUGCUUUGGAGACCACAGUUUCUAACAGACUUUCAACAGAGGACUGUCUUAUUCCACUCUUCGGCGAAGCUUUACGUUCAUGUAAACAGCAUGACGUGAGGCCGUGGAUGCAGGCAUUAAGGUAUACUGUGUACCAGAAUCAGUUGUUGGAGAAAAUUAAAGUUAAGUGGUUUUCCUUUUUUUUUUUUUUGUAAGAGAAAAUUAAA
rnacentral:lncRNA from 1 species